GACGUAGGGCGCGAGCGUUGUCCGGAUUUAUUGGGCGUAAAGAGCUCGUAGGCGGCUUGUUGCGUCGACUGUGAAAACCCGCGGCUUAACCGCGGGCCUGCAGUUGAUACGGGCAGGCUAGAGUUCGGUAGGGGGAGACUGGAAAUUCCUGGUGUAGCGGUGAAAAUGCGCAGAUAUCAGGAGGAACACCGGUGGCGAAGGCGGGUCUCUGGGCCGAUACUGACGCUGAGGAGCGAAAGCGUGGGAGCGAACAGG
rnacentral:rRNA from 1 species